rnacentral:rRNA from 1 species
GGAUGAAUAAGGGGUAAUGCCCUUAGCCCUUCGGGGCAUCCGAGACAGGUGGUGCAUGGUUGUCGUCAGCUCGUGUCGUGAGAUGUUGGGUUAAGUCCCGCAACGAGCGCAACCCCUAUCUUCAGUAGCCAGCAUUCAGGAUGGGAACUCAGGAGAGACUGCCCGGGACAACCGGGAGGAAGGCGGGGAUGACGUCAAAUCAUCAUGCCCCUUAUGGGCAGGGCUACACACGUGCUACAAUGGCGAAAACAGAGGGAAGCGAGCCGGUGACGGUAAGCAAACCCCAAAAACAUCGUCCCAGUUCGGACUGUAGUCUGCAACCCGACUACACGAAGCCGGAAUCGCUAGUAAUCGCGGAUCAGAAUGCCGCGGUGAAUACGUUCCCGGGUCUUGUACACACCGCCCGUCACACCAUGGGAGUCGGAAAUGCCCGAAGUCAGUGACCUAACCUUUAAGGGAGGAGCUGCCGAAGGUGGAGCCGGUAACUGGGGUGAAGUCGUAACAAGGUAGCCGUAUCGGAAGGUGCGGUUGGAUCACCUC